CUUCACAUUGUGUUGUUUAGGUUGGAACAAACUUCAUUACCCUGAGGAUUUUUUUAAAACCUACAACCUGUGCAAAAUCCAAUGUGGUAGCCCAUCGGGAUGAAUGUCCAUUUGACAACAGCAAGCCAUACAUUAACUGUGUAGUCUGCAGCAAGUUCACUGACGUUACCUUCAAUAAUCCAUUUGUUGACUGCAAGACAAAUGAGCUGGUUGAUCAGGCCCAUCAGAAUUACAGAAAGAAGCACUGUCGUGUUUAUCUGACUGGAGGGACUAAUAUACAUACGGUGAGCUAUUAAUUUUUAAGGGAUAAUCCUGCUAUUACCACAAUCUUAGCUUGUGACUUUUCUGUAAGUAACAUAAUAAUCUUGGAUAUAAUUACCCAAGGGUAUUAAAAAUGACAUAUACGUCUUAACGAGAAUAAGAGAAUGCCAUGAUUAUUGUAAUGACAUCUGAGGUAAAAGAAUAACCAGCCACCCUGACAGAAUAAGACAGCAUGAUGACAGAGUUCUGUAAAAUGACUGUAGGCACGUCAUUAAUCACUAAUCGCCAAUUUACCGCAUAGUCACCAGCUGAACCUGUGAUUGGUGCUGUCCCAACCUAACCUUUUCACUCCUUCUGCUUUUCUGUGAGCAGCUGACGUUGAAUAAGCCAGAAGUGAACUUGACAGAAUGAGCUGCACAGCAAGUGAAUGCGAAUAUGAGCUGGUCGUGAUUUAAGCAGAGUCUGAACAGAAGAAUCCUGUGGCUUAAGCUGUAGAGGGUGGGGGUGAGCCCCCACAGUGACCUGUACUGUACCUGAUCACCAAAAUAACAUAAAAGAACCUUCCAUGA